CUAAUUCAUUAUAACCUCAGUGUACUGUACAUUUAAGCUGUAUGCUUUGUCAUCCAUGAUGCCGUUGUGCAAAGCAAUCUUAGGACUAAGGUGAUCGUAACUCCCAUACCUUAACAUAGACUUGCGACUGUCGUAGCACUAAGGUUGUUUUGUACAACAGCACCCAUGUCUACAAUGAACUGUCCUUGUUUAGAUUCAAAUAUGUAAAACACUAGAACUGUUCUGUUUGAUUUCCAUUUUAUAAUGGCUUUUGAAAUUGAAAUUUACAUAAUUUACAUUUCAAAUGAAGAUGGGAAAAUUUCAUGGGAAUAUUAUUUUUAACUUAAUUCCAUCUUUGACGCACAUUUUUUCAAGGUAUGUUUUAAAAUCAUCUUUGUGGGUUUCAUCAAAGUUGUACGACCAUCACUGUAGACAUCCCGUUGAUGUCGACUCGGCGUGUAAGUGAAAUAUUCUCAUGAUUAUUUAUGUGGCUUGACAAGGUUCAGUAUAAAUAAUUCUAUUUUCGGAAACACAACUGGAAAUCCAGAGCAUCAGAUUCACAAAAAUUAACCAGCUGGCUUAAAUCCAUACGAAUCUAUAUUUUGUGAGGGAGAUUGGCAUGCAGGUUAUUGAUUUUCGUCUUGGUUACAUUGUUAUAUUGCGGUUCCUGUGUCUGAGGAUGCAAUAUGUGGUGAUUCCAUGUUUGUUACUGCUUUAUUAAGGCUGGAAUGAUUUUUGCUAAAAGAAGCACAUUUUCAGACAAUGUUUAAAAAUUCAAAUUAUUAUUUUUUUAUGCUUUAUUACCAGAGUAUGAAUUGUACAGAAUAACUUAAACUGGAUGAAGAACUUCAGAACUUGGGGUUUCAUAUGUAUAAAUUCUAUGGUUUUCAAAACAUAUUUUAGAAUUCUUGAGGUUGCUGUAUUCACAUGGCAAAUGCAGCUGUUGUUGAGAAAGAAAUCUCUACUUACAGUUUUAUUGUACUGUUUAUCAUGAACUUUGUUUGGUUCUUUAUCAUUGUCAUUUGAUUGUAUUGUGAGACAUGCAAUGAUAUUGUCUUUAUAACAUAGAGCUGAUGGAAUGUCAUGUUAAUUAUACUGUUGAUUGUGUUGGAUAAAAGGGGAACAAUG